AAAAAUGUUCUCAUUUUAUUUUCUAAAUCAUUAUUAACUUCGGGGGGUAGUUAUGACCCUGCUAAGGACCUCAUCAAUAGCUUUAUUUAUAACUUAUCGCAUUUACUCAGAAAGGAAUAUUGCUGAAUCAGAAUGGCUAUAGAUUCCGUCAAUGACCAUUAGAUAAUGGGGAAUAAUGAUAUUCCACAAUCCUGACUCAGCUAAUUUGUGGAAUCAUCUCACCACCACUGCACCAAACAAUGUUUGAUUUGCAGCAGCUAACAAUUAUAAUUGUGUUAUUCACACUUCUGUCCUAUACAGACAUCUACAUUUAAGUGGUUUGAAAUACGGUUGGUGAAAUAGGGUUGAUGAAAUUAACUUUAUGUGUAGAAAAAGGACUUUAUUUAUUAGUGUUAGAACAAGGAAAUGCUGCUUUAUAAGCAAAGUUUGACUUCUUCAAGUUUAUUGUCGUAAUUAGAGAAUACCUGAAGCAUAUUAAAGUCAUCCCCAGUGAAUAUAUUUAAUGUGUUUUGUAGCUACAUUUUAUGAGCUGAAAUUUUUAUUGGAGAUGAUAAUAUCAAUAUUAUUUAUUGUAGCUUUGAUGGCAGGUAAAACUUGAAGCUAAUAUUCUGGCUAAACAAUCUAUUACCAUUACUCACUUCUCUCACCAUCUCUUUCCCAGUCUCCUACAGUAUAUGGAGACGAGCAAAAUAUUUCCAUUUUCAUCGUCUAGUGUAAAUGAUAAUAAGAGACUAGAUCUAUGACCCAUAGUUGAGCUGAGUUUGAAAUAGAUUGCAUCCCAGUCUGGCCACGCUUGUGAAAUACUCCUCAUGCCGUAUAUAUUGAUGACCAAAUACAAUUACAUGAUUGCAUUCUCAGCCAAACCCUCUUCCUUUCAGCUUAAAUGAUACAUUGCAUUGAAUUGAAAUAGUGAAUCGUUCCACUAGACAACAUAAAGAGUUAUUAGAUUCAGCAUGUGUGUCUGCCAAAUGGUGACACACAAUGUCUGGUGGGUAUCCUUCAUAGGUAUGACACCAUAUGACUGCAAUAGACUGAUGCAAAGGCGGCUGGAACAGGGCAAUCAUCUAAAGAGUUGGUUCAUUUUGGCCUUGUUUGAGAGUUUGACCUGAUCACAGACUGACCUACAAAUAAUAGUGAGUAGUAAUUUAGAAUGCAAGGUGAUUUGUAGAUCAGUCAUUGUGCAGAGUUGAAUUGACAGUAGUUGUUUCCAGAUGGGUCUCUUGGAACUUCACACCUUUAGUUAUGUUCCCUUUAUCUCAGUAAUAUACUGUUUUCCUUUAGCCUAGAAACAAUGCAGAAAUGGUAACGGUUAGCGGAAUGUUCAUGGAUGUUAAACAAGGGUAGAGUUGUAAUUUUCUGUUUUUAACAAUCGUUUGUUGUGUUGGAUUCAUAUUAGUCCAUGGAAACAUUCUGUCCUGAUAUCAGAUGAUUUUGUCAUUUAUCUUAAUUAAUAUCACUAGAAAUGCCAAUAGGACUAGGCGUUUUAUCAAUCAUCUUCCUCUUCUUAAGAAUUUGGUGAUAAGAAAUCAGAGUUAUCGUUCGUGCCAUCAACCUCCCCUAUUCUUUGCCAAUGCAAUUCCUUUUCAUUUGUCUUGUCCUGUUUUCCUGGCUACUAUUCCCUAGCUUAGGUUCGCUGUUUCUAAAGCUUCUCCUCUCCUGCAAGGUCAACUAUAAUCAACCCCAGACAAUGUCACUGGCUUCUGCAGCAACCAGGGAGACUAAACAGGAGGUGGAGGCGGUGUCAUCCUCAAAGCUGUGCGGAAUAAGGUCACGGAUCUCCAAGUUCUUCAAGGAAAAAGCCAGAGCCAGGGAGUCCUAUAGUAGCAUAAACAGUGGAGGACAAUGCACCCUUCUCCUUUGUGAGACCCCCAUGUACGAGAUGAAACAGUGUUAUAAACCAAAUAAAAAUGUCUUCGUCUUGGCAGCCCCACCG
rnacentral:lncRNA from 1 species